rnacentral:rRNA from 1 species
GAUGAACGCUGGCGGCGUGCCUAAUACAUGCAAGUCGAGCGAACAGACGAGGAGCUUGCUCCUCUGACGUUAGCGGCGGACGGGUGAGUAACACGUGGAUAACCUACCUAUAAGACUGGGAUAACUUCGGGAAACCGGAGCUAAUACCGGAUAAUAUAUUGAACCGCAUGGUUCAAUAGUGAAAGACGGUUUUGCUGUCACUUAUAGAUGGAUCCGCGCCGCAUUAGCUAGUUGGUAAGGUAACGGCUUACCAAGGCGACGAUGCGUAGCCGACCUGAGAGGGUGGUCGGCCACACUGGAGCUUGGACAGGCUCCAGACUCCUGCGGGAGGCCGCAGUAUGGAAUCGUCCGCAGUGGGCGAGAGCCUGACGCAGCAACGGCGCGUGAGUUAUGAAGGUGUUCCGAUCGUGAAGCCCUGUUAUUAGGUGUGAACCAAUGUGUAAGUAACCAUGCACGUCUUGACGGUACCUGGUCAGAAAGCCCCGGCUAACUACGUG